CACACACACACACACACACACACACACACACACGAAAAUGGGGGAAAGUACUAUAAUUGUCAUUUGAGAACUUAUGCUUACUAAUAUAGAGGAAUACUCAGUUUGAAGGAGUCCAUUGAUGUCAAUCAAGUCAAAAGAAGGACAAGAAAAGGCUGACAUAGAACCUGAAGUUAAGGUAGACAUUUCUGGAACUUGGGACAGGAGCCCAGGAGAAAUGCUGUCAUAUCUAAUCAGUCCUUUUGUAGCUCCUGACAUGUUAAAAUUGUUCUUGACAUGUUAAAAUUGUAUGUGUGGCCCUGUCGGCUGUUAACAGAGUGUAACAUUCACAUAUAAGAUAAAUAUGAAUAUGGUUACACUGUUUUCUUUUAUACAAAUCCCAUGAUUGAUUUUCUGUGAAAAAACGUUUUGAAAACAAGUUUGGGCUAGUGGUAUGGCUCAAGUGGUAGACUACCUGCUUAGCAAGGAUAAAGCCCUGAGUUCAUACUCCAGUACCACCAAAAAAGAACAAAAUAAAACAAAAACAAAAACCCUGAUAAGCAAGUCACUAUACUGGCAAUUUCAAUUUAUGCUUAGUGCUGUUAAUCUAGUUGGGCAUUUAAAUACUACCCAAUAGUAUUUGCUGCCAUUUUCCAGUAGUUGGUGGUGGAGGUGUGUUGUGUGUGUGUGUGUUUUUGAACUUAG